rnacentral:rRNA from 1 species
GCGGCGGACGGGUGAGUAACGCGUAGGCAACCUGCCUUAUGCAGAGGGAUAGCCAUUGGAAACGAUGAUUAAAACCUCAUAACGCCGGAGAGUCACAGGGUUUUCCGGCCAAAGAUUUAUCGGCAUAAGAUGGGCCUGCGUCUGAUUAGUUAGUUGGUGGGGUAACGGCCUACCAAGGCGACGAUCAGUAGCCGACCUGAGAGGGUGAUCGGCCACAUUGGAACUGAGACACGGUCCAAACUCCUACGGGAGGCAGCAUG